GGCUGUGGCUCAGUGGUAGAGCCCUGGCUUGGCAUGUGGAAGGUCCCAGGUUCAAUCCCUGGAAUCUCCU